GAGCUCGGAUGGACGUCUUCAGACGCCGUCAACCGCGGUUUUCCUUCUCGAUGGCUUCGAAAUGAACGGGAAAUAUAUUUUAUUAAUCUAAUGUAGUUACGGAGCGCCACUAUGGCGCAUCCCUCCCUUCCCACGUACUUGAAGCGGUGAAUAUAAUAUUCAUACAUAGCAAUAUAUAAAUUCGCCCUUAUAAUUUAUGUACAAUAAUUACAGAUGAUGCAGAUGAUGCAGCUUGUCGGCCAGAUACCCCUGGAGGAUCAAUAACCCGCUCGAUUCAAUUAGGGUAGAAAAGAGAGGCGUCGGUGGCGUCCAUGGCGUCGCCCUGCGUCCCUCUUCGGAUGGGCCAGCUCCCCGGAGACGAGCGGCCGUUAAUGACGUCGCGCGAGGACCUCUUAACGAGGCUAACGUUGCGAAAGGAAUCUCCGGAUGAACUCGACUCGUCGCCAAUGCCAUUAGGAUGACACGCCAUGGCUUUUAGCCGCCCGACGAACAUCGGCACAAAUAUCCAAACUGGCCCGGAGAAGUUAAUGCUAAGCUCAGGAGGGAUGCAUCCCCGA